UACGAAGGGGGCUAGCGUUGCUCGGAAUCACUGGGCGUAAAGGGUGCGUAGGCGGGUUUUUAAGUCAGGGGUGAAAUCCUGGAGCUCAACUCCAGAACUGCCUUUGAUACUGAAGAUCUCGAGUCCGGGAGAGGUGAGUGGAACUGCGAGUGUAGAGGUGAAAUUCGUAGAUAUUCGCAAGAACACCAGUGGCGAAGGCGGCUCACUGGCCCGAUACUGACGCUGAGGCACGAAAGCGUGGGGAGCGAACGGGG
rnacentral:rRNA from 1 species